rnacentral:rRNA from 1 species
GCUUAACACAUGCAAGUCGAGGGGCAGCAUGGUCUUAGCUUGCUAAGGCCGAUGGCGACCGGCGCACGGGUGAGUAACACGUAUCCAACCUGCCGUCUACUCUUGGACAGCCUUCUGAAAGGAAGAUUAAUACAAGAUGGCAUCAUGAGUCCGCAUGUUCACAUGAUUAAAGGUAUUCCGGUAGACGAUGGGGAUGCGUUCCAUUAGAUAGUAGGCGGGGUAACGGCCCACCUAGUCUUCGAUGGAUAGGGGUUCUGAGAGGAAGGUCCCCCACAUUGGAACUGAGACACGGUCCAAACUCCUACGGGAGGCAGCAGUGAGGAAUAUUGGUCAAUGGGCGAGAGCCUGAACCAGCCAAGUAGCGUGAAGGAUGACUGCCCUAUGGGUUGUAAACUUCUUUUAUAAAGGAAUAAAGUCGGGUAUGGAUACCCGUUUGCAUGUACUUUAUGAAUAAGGAUCGGCUAACUCCGUGCCAGCAGCCGCGGUAAUACGGAGGAUCCGAGCGUUAUCCGGAUUUAUUGGGUUUAAAGGGAGCGUAGAUGGAUGUUUAAGUCAGUUGUGAAAGUUUGCGGCUCAACCGUAAAAUUGCAGUUGAUACUGGAUAUCUUGAGUGCAGUUGAGGCAGGCGGAAUUCGUGGUGUAGCGGUGAAAUGCUUAGAUAUCACGAAGAACUCCGAUUGCGAAGGCAGCCUGCUAAGCUGCAACUGACAUUGAGGCUCGAAAGUGUGGGUAUCAAACAGGAUUAGAUACCCUGGUAGUCCACACGGUAAACGAUGAAUACUCGCUGUUUGCGAUAUACUGCAAGCGGCCAAGCGAAAGCGUUAAGUAUUCCACCUGGGGAGUACGCCGGCAACGGUGAAACUCAAAGGAAUUGACGGGGGCCCGCACAAGCGGAGGAACAUGUGGUUUAAUUCGAUGAUACGCGAGGAACCUUACCCGGGCUUAAAUUGCAGAUGAAUUACGGUGAAAGCCGUAAGCCGCAAGGCAUCUGUGAAGGUGCUGCAUGGUUGUCGUCAGCUCGUGCCGUGAGGUGUCGGCUUAAGUGUCAUAACGAGCGCAACCCUUGUUGUCAGUUACUAACAGGUUCCGCUGAGGACUCUGACAAGACUGCCAUCGUAAGAUGUGAGGAAGGUGGGGAUGACGUCAAAUCAGCACGGCCCUUACGUCCGGGGCUACACACGUGUUACAAUGGGGGGUACAGAGGGCCGCUACCACGCGAGUGGAUGCCAAUCCCCAAAACCUCUCUCAGUUCGGACUGGAGUCUGCAACCCGACUCCACGAAGCUGGAUUCGCUAGUAAUCGCGCAUCAGCCACGGCGCGGUGAAUACGUUCCCGGGCCUUGUACACACCGCCCGUCAAGCCAUGGGAGCCGGGGGUACCUGAAGUGCGUAACCGCGAGGAGCGCCCUAGGGUAAAACUGGUGACUGGGGC